rnacentral:rRNA from 1 species
ACCCGCUGAACUUAAGCAUAUCAAUAAGCGGAGGAAAAGAAACUAACAAGGAUUCCCCUAGUAACUGCGAGUGAAGAGGGAAAAGCUCAAAUUUAAAAUCUGGCAGCUUUCCGCUGUCCGAGUUGUAAUUUAGAGAAGUGCUACCCGCGCUGGACCGUGUACNAAGUCUCCUGA